rnacentral:rRNA from 1 species
ACAAACGCUUGCGGCAUGCCUAACCCAUGCAAGUCGAACGGACAGAACAGGGAAGCUUUUCGGAGUGGAACUGGAAAGUUAGUGGCGGAUGGGUGAGUAACGCGUGGACAACCUACCUUGUAAAGGGGAAUAACCUCGAGAAAUCGAAGCUAAUACCCCAUAAUAACCUUGCUUCGCAUGAAGUAAGGAGGAAAGGCGGCCUUAGCGCUGUCGAUACAAGAUGGGUCCGCGUCUGAUUAGCUAGUUGGUGAGGUAAAGGCUCACCAAGGCGACGAUCAGUAGCCGGCCUGAGAGGGUGAACGGCCACAUUGGGACUGAGACACGGCCCAAACUCCUACGGGAGGCAGCAGUGGGGAAUCUUCCGCAAUGGGCGAAAGCCUGACGGAGCAAUGCCGCGUGAGUGAAGAAGGCCUUCGGGUUGUAAAACUCUGUCCUUAUCGAAGAGAGAGUGUUGUAGUAACUGACAAUACUAGGACGGUAGAUGAGGAGGAAGCCCCGGCUAACUAGGUG